UACAGAGGGUGCGAGCGUAAUCGGAGUUACUGGGCGUAAAGGGCGCGUAGGCGGUUAUAUAAGUGAGAUGUGAAAUCCCUGGGCUUAACCUAGGAACUGCAUCUCAUACUGUAUGACUGGAGUAUUGUAGAGGGUAGUGGAAUUUCCGGUGUAGCGGUGAAAUGCGUAGAGAUCGGAAGGAACACCAGUGGCGGAAGGCGGCUACC
rnacentral:rRNA from 1 species